rnacentral:rRNA from 1 species
AUUGAACGCUGGCGGCAGGCCUAACACAUGCAAGUCGAACGGUAACAGGAAACAGCUUGCUGUUCCGCUGACGAGUGGCGGACGGGUGAGUAAUGUCUGGGAAACUGCCUGAUGGAGGGGGAUAACUACUGGAAACGGUAGCUAAUACCGCAUAACGUCGCAAGACCAAAGAGGGGGACCCUCGGGCCUCUUGCCAUCGGAUGUGCCCAGAUGGGAUUAGCUAGUAGGUGGGGUAACGGCUCACCUAGGCGACGAUCCCUAGCUGGUCUGAGAGGAUGACCAGCCACACUGGAACGGAGACACGGUCCAGACUCCUACGGGAGGCAGCAGUGGGGAAUAUUGCACAAUGGGCGCAAGCCUGAUGCAGCCAUGUCGCGUGUAUGAAGAAGGCCUUCGGGUUGUAAAGUACUUUCAGCGGGGAGGAAGGGAGUAAAGUUAAUACCUUUGCUCAUUGACGUUACCCGCAGAAGAAGCACCGGCUAACUCCGUGCCAGCCGCCGCCGUAA